ACUGUCCUGAGUCCCAUCUUUACCUCCCUCCUGUUAUUUAAUAAUAUAGAAUGAGAUAAUAUGACAUUUAGCAGAUGCUAUAACCCAAAUAGCCUUAGUCUUUAUUCUCCAGGUGAUCGUAUCCACUAAGAUGUGGUGUCUUUAUUCUCCAGGUGAUCGUAUCCACUAAGAUGUGGUGUCUUUAUUCUCCAGGUGAUCGUAUCCACUAAGAUGUGGUGUCUUUAUUCUCCAGGUGAUCGUAUCCACUAAGAUGUGGUGUCUUUAUUCUCCAGGUGAUCGUAUCCACUAAGAUGUGGUGUCUUUAUUCUCCAGGUGAUCGUAUCCACUAAGAUGUGGUGUCUUUAUUCUCCAGGUGAUCGUAUCCACUAAGAUGUGGUGUCUUUAUUCUCCAGGUGAUCGUAUCCACUAAGAUGUGGUGUCUUUAUUCUCCAGGUGAUCGUAUCCACUAAGAUGUGGUGUCUUUAUUCUCCAGGUGAUCGUAUCCACUAAGAUGUGGUGUCUUUAUUCUCCAGGUGAUCGUAUCCACUAAGAUGUGGUGUCUUUAUUCUCCAGGCGAUCGUAUCCACUAAGAUGUGGUGUCUUUAUUCUCCAGGUGAUCGUAUCCACUAAGAUGUGGUGUCUUUAUUCUCCAGGCGAUCGUAUCCACUAAGAUGUGGUGUGUUUAUUCUCCAGGUGAUCGUAUCCACUAAGAUGUGGUGUGUUUAUUCUCCAGGUGAUCAUAUCCAGUAAGAUGUGGUGUUUUUAU